rnacentral:piRNA from 1 species
UAAAAAUCUUAGUAAAAGAAC